ACACAUACAGCAGGCCCAGCAGCGACUUUUCGUUCAGUUCGCGAACAAUAAUUAAUGGCACAUUUAUUUCUUUAGCAUACAAAGAGGUAUAGCUAACAUUUGUCCGUGCGGUCGCUGCAAGCAGUUUGACUAAAGGACUAUUGCAGAAGGCACUAGGCUACAGGUUUCCGCCGAAUGCGACCAGUUCAUUUAAUUUGAUCUUAAGUUGAACCCUACCGUGUAAUUGCAUAUCAUUAGGGACAGCAAACAUGCGAGGUUUGUUUGCAUGCCUUUUUUGCACAUUUCUGGUGGCGUCGUUGCUAUCGGACCUUUCAGAAGAAGCUGUAGGAGUUGAAGAAGUGCGCCUGCACCAAGAACUCUGCCACUAUGGGAAAUAUAGAAUUGAAGAUGGCAAAAGCCUCGCACUUACAAGCCCCUGCGUACGGUUGACCUGCGAAUCACUCAAUGCGAGUUACGCCAAUGUGUUUAUUGCUGGAUGCGGUGUGGUGGCGCUAGGCGAGGAGGUUCCAAACCGUUGCAAGAUAAGAAAGCCAAGGAGGCCCAAACCUUAUCCGGGUUGCUGCCCCAGAAUUGUUUGCAGAAGAAAACGUAAAGUCAACUCAAAGGCGGAAUGAUACGGCUUUACAUUUUUGCCACAAAUUAUCUUCCAAUUGCAAAAUAAAAAGUGUGAGCAGGGUGUUUUAAAACAG